UACGGAGGGGGCAAGCGUUAUCCGGAUUCACUGGGUUUAAAGGGUGCGUAGGUGGGUCUGUAAGUCCGUGGUGAAAUCUCCGAGCUUAACUUGGAAACUGCCAUGGAUACUAUAGAUCUUGAAUACUGUGGAGGUUAGCGGAAUAUGUCAUGGAGCGGUGAAGUGCUUAGAUAUGACAUAGAACACCAAUUGCGAAGGCAGCUGGCUACACAAAUAUUGACACUGAUGCACGAAAGCGUGGGGAUCAAACAGG
rnacentral:rRNA from 1 species